CGAACGCUGGCGGCAUGCCUAACACAUGCAAGUCGAACGAGACCUUCGGGUCUAGUGGCGCACGGGUGCGUACCGCGUGGGAACCUGCCCUUAGGUUCGGAAUAACUCCCCGAAAGGGGUGCUAAUACCGGAUAAUGUCUUCGGACCAAAGAUUUAUCGCCUUUGGAUGGGCCCGCGUUGGAUUAGCUAGUUGGUAGGGUAAAAGCCUACCAAGGCGACGAUCCAUAGCUGGUCUGAGAGGAUGAUCAGCCACACUGGGACUGAGACACGGCCCAGACUCCUACGGGAGGCAGCAGUGGGGAAUAUUGGACAAUGGGCGAAAGCCUGAUCCAGCAAUGCCGCGUGAGUGAUGAAGGCCUUAGGGUUGUAAAGCUCUUUUACCCGGGAUGAUAAUGACAGUACCGGGAGAAUAAGCUCCGGCUAACUCCGUG
rnacentral:rRNA from 1 species